rnacentral:rRNA from 1 species
CCUACGGGUGGCAGCAGUGGGGAAUAUUGCACAAUGGGGGAAACCCUGAUGCAGCGACGCCGCGUGAGUGAAGAAGUAAUUCGUUACGUAAAGCCCUAUCAGCAGGGAAGAAACACUGACCUUACGGUCAGCAGACGGUACCUGAGUAAGAAGCCCCGGCUAACUACGUGCCAGCAGCCGCGGUAAUACGUAGGGGGCAAGCGUUAUACGGAUUUACUGGGUGUAAAGGGAGCGUAGACGGUGCGCCAAGUCUGGAGUGAAAUGCCGCGGCUUAACUGCGGAACUGCUUUGGAAACUGGCGAACUAGAGUGCGGUAGAGGUAUGCGGAAUUCGUGGUGUAGCGGUGAAAUGCGUAGAUAUUAGGAGGAACACCGGUUGCGAAGGCGGCUUACUGGACCGUAACUGACGUUGAUGCUCGAAAGCGUGGGUAGCAAACAGGAUUAGAUACCCUUGUAGUC